CCUGCGUGAGUUCAUCAUAUCGUCAGAGACUUCGGAGCCGGGGCGGAGGGAAAUGCGUCAUGGGUCCUCAGAUACCCAGGUUCUCCUUUGGAGGAGAGCUCACAAUGACGCAUCUGGGGACUUCCCUUCUCGUGCAAGGAGCAUGGAGGGGUGCCCUGGAUUAGAACGUGGUAGUGACAAGGGGCUGACGCCCUCAUCCCCCGGUACUGCAAAUCUGAUCUGGAUCUCUCCCGGUUACCGAACGCAAACUAAACUUCUCAAAGGAGCCAAUAAGACAUUUAAAGUCACAGGGAGACUAGCCCUGAGGUGAAUUGUCGUGGACCUUUUUAAGGCACAAAUUAUAUGAAACCUACCUUAAACCGA